GGGCCGGUCGUCUAGCAUGGUUAGGACGUCAGUAUAAUUUACCGUCAAGCUCUGACACGGCGAAGGUCGGUGGUUCAAAUCCGCCCCGGCCCA
rnacentral:tRNA from 1 species